UUAAAUGAAGCCAAAUUGUGAGGCAUUUUAUUGUUAAUAAAAUAAGUGAAAAUUUUUUCCAUUUAAA
rnacentral:tRNA from 1 species